GACGAACGCUGGCGGCGUGCUUAACACAUGCAAGUCGAACGGAAAGGCCCCUUUUGUGGUACUCGAGUGGCGAACGGGAGCGUAACACUUGAGUAACCUGCCCUUGACUUCGGGAUAACUUCAGGAAACUGGGGCUAAUACCGGAUAGGGAUCCUUGCUGCAUGGGGGGGGUUGCAAAGCUUCGGCGGUUUUGGAUGGACUCUCGGCUUAUCGGCUUGUUGUUGGGGUAGUGGCUUACCAGGGCUUCUACGGGUCGCCGCCCUGAGAGGGCGACCGGCCACCUUGGGCCUGAGAACCGGCCCAGACCUGUACGGGAGGCAGCAGGGGGGAAUCUUGCCCAAUGGGCGGACGCCGCAUGCAGCAACGCCGCGUGCGGGAUGACUGCCUUCGGGUUGUAGACCGCAUUCAACAGGGGCGAAGCUUGUGGUGACGGUACCUGCAGAAGAAGCACCGGCUAACUACGUG
rnacentral:rRNA from 1 species